rnacentral:rRNA from 1 species
AGGUAUCAGAAGUGCGAAUGCUGACAUAAGUAACGAUAAAGCGGGUGAAAAGCCCGCUCGCCGGAAGACCAAGGGUUCCUGUCCAACGUUAAUCGGGGCAGGGUGAGUCGACCCCUAAGGCGAGGCCGAAAGGCGUAGUCGAUGGGAAACAGGUUAAUAUUCCUGUACUUGGUGUUACUGCGAAGGGGGGACGGAGAAGGCUAUGUUAGCCGGGCGACGGUUGUCCCGGUUUAAGCAUGUAGGCGGAGGUUCCAGGUAAAUCCGGUACCUUUUAACGCUGAGGUGUGAUGACGAGGCACUACGGUGCUGAAGUAACAAAUGCCCUGCUUCCAGGAAAAGCCUCUAAGCAUCAGGUAACAUCAAAUCGUACCCCAAACCGACACAGGUGGUCAGGUAGAGAAUACCAAGGCGCUUGAGAGAACUCGGGUGAAGGAACUAGGCAAAAUGGUGCCGUAACUUCGGGAGAAGGCACGCUGAUAUGUAGGUGAAGCCCCUGCGGGUGGAGCUGAAAUCAGUCGAAGAUACCAGCUGGCUGCAACUGUUUAUUAAAAACACAGCACUGUGCAAACACGAAAGUGGACGUAUACGGUGUGACGCCUGCCCGGUGCCGGAAGGUUAAUUGAUGGGGUUAGCGGCAACGCGAAGCUCUUGAUCGAAGCCCCGGUAAACGGCGGCCGUAACUAUAACGGUCCUAAGGUAGCGAAAUUCCUUGUCGGGUAAGUUCCGACCUGCACGAAUGGCGUAAUGAUGGCCAGGCUGUCUCCACCCGAGACUCAGUGAAAUUGAACUCGCUGUGAAGAUGCAGUGUACCCGCGGCAAGACGGAAAGACCCCGUGAACCUUUACUAUAGCUUGACACUGAACACUGGUCCUUGAUGUGUAGGAUAGGUGGGAGGCUUUGAAGCGUGGACGCCAGUCUGCGUGGAGCCGUCCUUGAAAUACCACCCUUUAAUGGCUGGUGUUCUAACGUAGACCCGUGAUCCGGGUUGCGGACAGUGUCUGGUGGGUAGUUUGACUGGGGCGGUCUCCUCCCAAAGAGUAACGGAGGAGCACGAAGGUUAGCUAAUCCUGGUCGGACAUCAGGAGGUUAGUGCAAUGGCAUAAGCUAGCUUGACUGCGAGAGUGACGGCUCGAGCAGGUGCGAAAGCAGGUCAUAGUGAUCCGGUGGUUCUGAAUGGAAGGGCCAUCGCUCAACGGAUAAAAGGUACUCCGGGGAUAACAGGCUGAUACCGCCCAAGAGUUCAUAUCGACGGCGGUGUUUGGCACCUCGAUGUCGGCUCAUCACAUCCUGGGGCUGAAGUAGGUCCCAAGGGUAUGGCUGUUCGCCAUUUAAAGUGGUACGCGAGCUGGGUUUAGAACGUCGUGAGACAGUUCGGUCCCUAUCUGCCGUGGGCGCUGGAGAAUUGAGGGGGGCUGCUCCUAGUACGAGAGGACCGGAGUGGACGCAUCACUGGUGUUCGGGUUGUCAUGCCAAUGGCACUGCCCGGUAGCUAAAUGCGGAAAAGAUAAGUGCUGAAAGCAUCUAAGCACGAAACUUGCCCCGAGAUGAGUUCUCCCUGACCCUUUAAGGGUCCUGAAGGAACGUUGAAGACGACGACGUUGAUAGGUCGGGUGUGUAAGCGCAGCGAUGCGUUGAGCUAACCGAUACUAAUGAACCGUGAGGCUUAACCUUACAACGCCGAAGCUGUU